AACUCAAAGGAAUUGACGGGGACCCGCACAAGCGGUGGAUGAUGUGGUUUAAUUCGAUGCAACGCGAAAAACCUUACCCACCUUUGACAUGUACGGAAGUUACCAGAGAUGGUUUCGUGCUCGAAAGAGAACCGUAACACAGGUGCUGCAUGGCUGUCGUCAGCUCGUGUCGUGAGAUGUUGGGUUAAGUCCCGCAACGAGCGCAACCCUUGUCAUUAGUUGCUACGAAAGGGCACUCUAAUGAGACUGCCGGUGACAAACCGGAGGAAGGUGGGGAUGACGUCAAGUCCUCAUGGCCCUUAUAGGUGGGGCUACACACGUCAUACAAUGGCUGGUACAGAGGGUUGCCAACCCGCGAGGGGGAGCUAAUCCCAUAAAACCAGUCGUAGUCCGGAUCGCAGUCUGCAACUCGACUGCGUGAAGUCGGAAUCGCUAGUAAUCGCGGAUCAGAAUGUCGCGGUGAAUACGUUCCCGGGUCUUGUAC
rnacentral:rRNA from 1 species